GAAUCCUUUGAGGGCUCAGAGGACAGUGGUGCCAGCACUCCUAAGGUCCCACCAGCCCUUGGGGCAAGAGGGACUUUUUAUCUAAAAGCUGUGUGCUCCAGCGUCCCUGGAGGUCUCUCCACAUCGCAGAGACCCACCAUAGAAGGCACACCAAGCUGGUGGCACUGGAACCCCAAAGCUUGCCUGCCCCGGCCUCACAUGCUGUCCAUGCUGAAAGCCUGGAUGAGCUUUCUUCAAAUUCUCUCAGCUCUGCCACCACCUUGAUUCCUGCGUUGCAUGCUGAAAUUGCAAUAACACGCUCUCUGCUGCCUGUUCUUGUCCACCGCACCUCAGCUGCCAGGUUAAUCUCCCGAGAAUGCCGUUAGGACUGGCGCCUUGAUCACCUCACUUGUCAAAUGCGGGGUUCCAGCUCCAUAGAUCAGCAUCUUUAGAGAUCAAAUAAAUCCUUUGGAAUCCUGAAGACCAUUAUCCCCCAAAAUGCGUGUGGCUCAGGGAGACUGCUGGUGGAAAUGGUGUCAGCCCUAGCCUGCCAGGGCUUUGCAGGGCUCAGCCAAGGAGCCAGGCAGUUGUGAACAGCAGCCGCAGCAGCACCCCUCCUAUCUGCUGGUUCACCACAGGAAGUGCUGCUCCAGAUCUGUAUCCAGAUUCAUUCUUCCGCUG
rnacentral:lncRNA from 1 species